UACGAAGGGGGCGAGCGUUGUUCGGAAUUACUGGGCGUAAAGGGCGCGCAGGCGGCUCAGACAGUCAGAUGUGAAAGCCCCGGGCUUAACCUGGGAACUGCAUUUGAUACUACUGAGCUUGAGUACGGGAGAGGAUAGUGGAAUUCCCAGUGUAGAGGUGACAUUCGUAGAUAUUGGGAAGAACACCGGUGGCGAAGGCGGCUAUCUGGACCGUAACUGACGCUGAGGCGCGAAAGCGUGGGGAGCAAACAGG
rnacentral:rRNA from 1 species